rnacentral:rRNA from 1 species
CACUCCUGCGGGAGGCAGCAGUGGGGAAUAUUGGACAAUGGGCGCAAGCCUGAUCCAGCCAUGCCGCGUGAGUGAUGAAGGCCCUAGGGUUGUAAAGCUCUUUCGCCGGUGAAGAUAAUGACGGUAACCGGAGAAGAAGCCCCGGCUAACUUCGUGCCAGCAGCCGCGGUAAUACGAAGGGGGCUAGCGUUGUUCGGAUUUACUGGGCGUAAAGCGCACGUAGGCGGACUAUUAAGUCAGGGGUGAAAUCCCGGGGCUCAACCCCGGAACUGCCUUUGAUACUGGUAGUCUUGAGUUCGAGAGAGGUGAGUGGAAUUCCGAGUGUAGAGGUGAAAUUCGUAGAUAUUCGGAGGAACACCAGUGGCGAAGGCGGCUCACUGGCUCGAUACUGACGCUGAGGUGCGAAAGCGUGGGGAGCAAACAGGAUUAGAUACCCCUGUAGUCCCA